AACCGGCAGUCAAGAGAAUCAUCAGUUCUCGUCGUCGCAUCGCCCACUCAACUCGCAUCCACCAUUCCACCCGCACCCCCCGAACUUCUCCGCCGUCCCAGCGCCGGCGCGACGCCGCAUGCCCCGGCAGAGCAAGCGCUGCUGCAAUCGCAUAUGCCCGUCGAGCGCCGCUUCAUCCUACGCAUUCGGCCGCCGCUGCCCCCGUCGCAUCUGCCUGGCUCCAAAAAUGCUCAUUUUUUGGGUCCAAAUUGGCUGAUCUUGCGACGGUGCUAGAUCUGGUAGCGGCGAAGGCAGCCAGCGGGGAGGAGUAGGUCCUCCAUGGCGGGCGGUGGCACGGAAGUGGGCGGUGAGGCGGCUCGGUGACCGGACGGCCCUCCUCCUCGCCGUUCCCUUCAAAAGACCCCUCCCCCUCCCCAAAUCCCCUUAGAGAGUGCACUGACAGAUAGAUGGAGUAAUUUCGCCUUAAUCCGUGGUGCUUCCCUUUCUCUACUUAAUCUGUGGUGGUUCCAAAUCCUCCUAAGAGUAAUUGAUGCCCAACAUUCUCCGUCUCAUUUUCAUUGCUGCUUCUCUGGCCACAGCGUUCUGCGUCUCCUCGAUGAGUAAUCAAUCCAUGUUUAGAGUUAAUUAGGAGUGCAUUAUUUUUUGCUAGUUCCUCAUUGCUACAAUUACUCCUGAUUGUGACCCAGCUUCCAAGUUUCAGUCAUUAUUUCUGGAACUUUUCUAUAAUUCGAGUACUAUGAUGAUGUUUAUCUUCUUAAGAACAAAGGAACAAGUGUGGGAGGAUGAUAUCUCUGCUGCUUGUUGUACUUCAAUAUUCCAGACCGUUGUUUAAGUUCUUGGAGUAAAUUCAGUGUUUAAACAUUUUAUUCUUGGCCACAACAAUAACUAUGUGAGUGUACUGUAAUCCAAGAGAUUGUUCUUCAUUCUUCUUGUAGGUAAUAGUUGUUACUGUUACUGUUAAAGACAUGGCUCUCUUGGUGCUGCAGCUUCUUCCUCGCUGUGCAGGGACGGCGGCGACGAGCUUCUACCUCGGCUACAACCACCUAGGUUCUGCUGGACAAGGAGCUCGGAGAGGCGCUGGAGGAGGUAGAGAAUUUGAUAAAAAAACAGGGUAGCAGCAGCAUUUCAGUUUGGGAAGGUUAGACUGCUGGAGUUGAAGCAGUUGUGGAUUUCGUCAAGGCAAAAAUAGAGCAUUUCCACUUAGUGAGAUGAAAAGGGUUAGCUUUCAGGCUUUGUUUCAGCAUGCUUUUGAUUCGUCACUCCUGAGCACUAAUUAUUACUUGCCUGCACUACUCCCUCUCCGUGUACAUAUUAGAAAUUCUAAAAAGACUUCAUGCGUGGGUCAAAUGUGUGCUCGGUGCGUUAGGUCCUUCUUGUUUUAAUUUGAACAAGAAACCAACCCUGUACUACUGGUAGUCCUAAGCCCAGGGAUCACACUAAGCACACUUGAUUUUUUGGGUCGAAACUGUAAAUUAGUACGUUGUUGGCCCUGCUGCACAGCAUAGCAGGAGAGCCCGACCCACCUUCAAUGUGCGCAUGAUCUAGGGGCCCUUCCAAUUUCA